rnacentral:rRNA from 1 species
AUGGCAUUGAUCAUCCCGGCGACCUCCCUCAUGGUCGGCGGCACCUCGCCGGGCGAGGCGUCGAUGCACCUCAUGGCGACCUGCAGCAGCCGCACCAUCCGCUGCUCGCUGACGCCGUCGCGGGAGAGCAGCGCGCGGUCGAACACCUCGGCGGUCCACUCCUCCUGGAUCACCGAGGUCACCCAGCGCGCCAGCUCCGCGCCGUCGCCCUGCGCCGCCGUGGCCUUCCCCGUGAGCAGCUCCAGCAGAAGCACGCCGAAGGCGCGCACGUCCGCGCGGAGGCCGACGGCGGCGGCCAGCGGCGGCGCGACGACGCCGUACUCGCUGAUGCAGGGCUCCAUGCCGGCCGUGAAGAGGAUGUUGGUGGACUUGAGGGCACCGUGGGCGAUGGAGGACGUGGAGGAGGCGUAGGAGCUCGCGCCGUCGCCGCGCAUGGCGGCGUGUAAGAAGGCCAUGCCGUCGGCCACCUUUGUAGCAAUGUGAAGGCGCGCCGGCCAGUCAAGGGGGGCCUGGCUGCUCUCUAUAGAGCCUGCAAAUAAUCAUCGAGAAGAACAUCGUUAUUUUCUUCGCUCGGAAUAA